rnacentral:rRNA from 1 species
UACGAAGGGGGCUAGCGUUGCUCGGAAUCACUGGGCGUAAAGCGCACGUAGGCGGCUUUCUAAGUCAGGGGUGAAAUCCUGGAGCUCAACUCCAGAACUGCCUUUGAUACUGGAGAGCUCGAGUCCGGAAGAGGUGAGUGGAACUCCGAGUGUAGAGGUGAAAUUCGUAGAUAUUCGGAAGAACACCAGUGGCGAAGGCGGCUCACUGGUCCGGUACUGACGCUGAGGUACGAAAGCGUGGGGAGCGAACAGG